rnacentral:rRNA from 1 species
AUUGAACGCUGGCGGCAGGCCUAACACAUGCAAGUCGAGCGGAUGAAGGGAGCUUGCUCCUGGAUUCAGCGUCGGACGGGUGAGUAAUGCCUAGGAAUCUGCCUGGUAGUGGGGGAUAACGUCCGGAAACGGGCGCUAAUACCGCCUACGUCCUGAGGGAGAAAGUGGGGGAUCUUCGGACCUCACGCUAUCAGAUGAGCCUAGGUCGGAUUAGCUAGUUGGUGGGGUAAAGGCCUACCAAGGCGACGAUCCGUAACUGGUCUGAGAGGAUGAUCAGUCACACUGGAACUGAGACACGGUCCAGGCUCCUACGGGAGGCAGCAGUGGGGAAUAUUGGACAAUGGGCGAAAGCCUGAUCCAGCCAUGCCGCGUGUGUGAAGAAGGUCUUCGGAUUGUAAAGCACUUUAAGUUGGGAGGAAGGGCAGUAAGUUAAUACCUUGCUGUUUUGACGUUACCAACAGAAUAAGCACCGGCUAACUUCGUG